GAUGAACGCUAGCGGCAGGCUUAAUACAUGCAAGUCGAGGGGCAGCAUGACUGUAGCAAUACGGUUGAUGGCGACCGGCAAACGGGUGCGGAACACGUACAGAACCUUCCUUCGAGCGGGGAAUAGCCCAGAGAAAUUUGGAUUAAUACCCCAUAGUAUUACGGAGUGGCAUCACUUUGUAAUUAAAGAUUUAUCACUUGAAGAUGGCUGUGCGGCUGAUUAGGUAGUUGGCGGGGUAACGGCCCACCAAGCCUGCGAUCAGUAACUGGUGUGAGAGCACGACCAGUCACACGGGCACUGAGACACGGGCCCGACUCCUACGGGAGGCAGCAGUAAGGAAUAUUGGUCAAUGGACGAAAGUCUGAACCAGCCAUGCCGCGUGGAGGAUGAAGGUCCUCUGGAUUGUAAACUUCUUUUAUAUGGGACGAAAAAAGGCUUUUCUAGGUCGUCUGACGGUACCAUAUGAAUAAGCACCGGCUAACUCCGUGCCAGCCGCCGCGGUAAAAC
rnacentral:rRNA from 1 species